UCCGGUUUGUCACCGGCAGUCUCCCUAGAGUUCCCGACUUUACUCGCUGGCAACUAGGGACAAGGGUUGCGCUCGUUACGGGACUUAACCCAACAUCUCACGACACGAGCUGACGACAGCCAUGCAGCACCUGUCUUGCGGCUCCCGAAGGCACUCUCCCAUCUCUGGAAGAUUCCGCAGAUGUCAAGAGCAGGUAAGGUUCUUCGCGUUGCAUCGAAUUAAACCACAUGCUCCACCGCUUGUGCGGGCCCCCGUCAAUUCAUUUGAGUUUUAACCUUGCGGCCGUACUCCCCAGGCGGAGAACUUAACGCGUUAGCUGUGACACUAAGGGGUUUAAUCCCCCCAACAUCUAGUUCUCAUCGUUUACGGCGUGGACUAC
rnacentral:misc_RNA from 1 species